GGAAUCCUCGAAGGUUGGGCAAGAACUGCAAAUAAAUAACCACAGUAUAUGGUUCUCAUCCUCCCUCAACUCAGGUUACAGUUGCUGUAUUGCAGUUACCUUCUUGGGCAGCUCUACCUCGGUCGUGAACUGUGAUGGUUUUCCCUUGCUCCAUUUGAGGCUUCAGCAACGACGAGCAUGGCCAAGCUAGACACCAAGAUAUGCAAAAACGGCCCCAACCAGAGUUCAGGCCACCAAGGUUGUGGCCCAUCUCGUGCAGCGAUC